CCAGCUCCAAUAGCGUAUAUUAAAGUUGUUGCAGUUAAAAAGCUCGUAGUUGGAUUUCUGUUUUGAGCGUCCGGUCCGCUCCUUUGGAGUGUGUACUAGGAUGUUUGAGACAUUUUUUGUGAGGAUGUCUUGCCUUCAUUAAUUUGUUGGCUUGAUAGACUUGCAUCGUUUACUGUGAAAAAAUUAGAGUGUUUAAAGCAGGCGUUUGCUCAUUGAAUACAUUAGCAUGGAAUAAUAAGAUACGACCUUGGUGGUCUAUUUUGUUGGUUUGCACACCAGGGUAAUGAUUAAUAGGGACAGUUGGGGGUAUUCAUAUUUCAGCGUCAGAGGUGAAAUUCUUGGAUCGCUGAAAGAUGAGCUUAGGCGAAAGCAUUUACCAAGGAUGUUUUCA
rnacentral:rRNA from 1 species